rnacentral:RNase_P_RNA from 1 species
GCAGACGCUUGCGAUGUAGCGGGGCGGAAACGCCUCGAGGAAAGUCCGGACUGCACAAGACAGGAUAGCGGUUAACGGCCGCCGGGGGUGACCCUAGGAUUAGAGCAACAGAAACGAACCACGGAAAGCGGUGGAUGAAACGGGCAAUCUCUAUCCGCAGCAACCCCAAGUAGGUUCCCACAAUGCCGGGUCUUGACGGCGGGAACGGGUAGGGGGCUUGACGCCCGCGGAAACGCGAAGCGCAGAUUAAUUACAUCGCACGAUAGAAUCCGGCUUAUAGAGCGUCUGCUAAA